AUGCAAGUAAUUGAACUGAAUGGAAAUGAAAUCCUGUUAAUUGAAAUCCUCCGCCCACUGGUGUGUCCUAGCCAAACCUGCCUUGGGAAUCCCAGAGCUCAGAAUGUCACGGAAAAAAAAUCGAGGAGUGCUUCCUGAAUCAUUGGCAACCAUGCUUUCACCAGAUGCUUCUCUGUAUAUUUUGCUGCUGUGGCGGGACCAUUCUAAUCUCAUUCAACUUGAAAUAAUGAAGCAGCUUCUUUUAUUCUGCCUUUGGAACCGUUCACAAUCAUCAUCUUCAUUUAAUGACCCCAUAAUCCCUUGUGGGGUGGAAUCUGGGCAACUGAAUGGAGCUAGCAGAGUGUUUUAAUGGCCGGAUGCCUUUCCUGUCACCAAUGCAGAGUUUUGUUCAGCAGAUAUAUUCUCAUCCUGCCCAGAGAGAGAAAUAUCUGUCUCUAUCUAGGAUCAAACUCACAGCCUCCUGAGUGUGAGGCGAGAGCUUUUGGAACUGGGCACAAUGCACAUUAAAAAAGCAAAACAAAACAAAAGAGUUGGAACCUUGACUUCUGGAUUUAUACCCUGAAGACACCCCCAGGCUCACAGAAUCUACCCUGCAGAAGUGAGAAACUGCCUAAGGAGAACUUUCAACCAGAUGUUAUUUGAGAAUCCAUUUAAUCCUUUAGGAAACAAUGCAACCACAAAACCAGAGCAUCAUCCAAGCUCAAAGAAAGUGUCCUAUGGGGAAAAUUCUUUGAUCUUUUGUGCAUAUUGACAUACCGUUCCAAACACAGAUCUUUUUGUACACGAA